rnacentral:rRNA from 1 species
UCCGUAGGUGGAUAAUUAAGUCAGAGGUGAAAUCUUGCAGCUCAACUGUAGAAUUGCCUUUGAAACUGGUUAUCUUGAGUUAUUAUGAAGUAGUUAGAAUAUGUAGUGUAGCGGUGAAAUGCAUAGAUAUUACAUAGAAUACCAAUUGCGAAGGCAGAUUACUAAUAAUAUACUGACACUGAUGGACGAAAGCGUGGGGAGCGAACAGGAUUAGAUACCCUGGUAGUCC